GUUUGGUUUGUCCGUUCUGGGCUACUGUAGAAACAUCGCAGACUCCGUGAAAUAGGGAUGACCCGCUCCCUAUGUAGAUAUGAAGGACUCAUUCUAAGCCAACGAUAACACAGCGAUUCUUAUACACUAAUGCAAACAUAGUUAUGAAUAUUAUAUUCCAUUUCUGCUAAUAGAUCCCCCGAAAUGCUACACACUGUUCCUUUAAGACUGCUCAUGAGUUCCCACUGGCCAGAGUUUUCUCUCCUGUAUUUCCUCUCUCUGUUUUCCAGCUGUGAAUGGUAUGUGCAGUUACAUUCAGAAGCAUUAAAAUGAUGUGCAUUGAGUUAGUUAUUAAACAACCAAUAUACAGUAUGUUUGAGAAGGCAAUACACUUAAACUGUAGAAGUAAAAUCAUGCAGCUCGAAU